CGCUUUUACCGAUUGAGUGUUCAGGUGAGUCUUCUUGAUAGUGUCAAAACUAAAAAUUAAACAAAUCUUAGCACUUAGAGGAAAAAGAAGUCGUAACAAGGUUUCCGUAGGUGAACCUGCGGAAGGAUCAUUCAUAAUU
rnacentral:rRNA from 1 species